rnacentral:rRNA from 1 species
AUUGAACGCUGGCGGCGUGCUUAACACAUGCAAGUCGUGCGGUAACAGGCGUAGCAAUACGUGCUGACGAGCGGCGAACGGGUGCGUAAUACAUGGGAAUCUGCCCUUUGGUGGGGAAUAACCCGGCGAAAGCCGGGCUAAUGCCGCAUAAGAUCUUCGGAUGAAAGCGGGGGAUCGUAAGACCUCGCGCUGAUGGAUGAGCCCAUGUCGGAUUAGCAGUUGGUGAGGUAACGGCUCACCAAGGCGACGAUCCGUAGCUGGUCUGAGAGGACGGCCAGCCACACUGGGACUGAGACACGGCCCAGACUCCUACGGGAGGCAGCAGUGGGAAUAUUGGACAAUGGGCGAAAGCCUGAUCCAGCGACGCCGCGUGUGUGAAGAAGGCCUGCGGGUUNUAAAGCACUUUUCGAUGGGAACGAAAUGUGCCGGGCUAAUAUCCCGGCAAGCUGACGUUACUCAAU